AUAAAUCUAUUUGUCUAGAUAUUAUUGUUGUCUCUAGUUGAAUAUUGAUGUGAUUAUGUGAAUAGUUGUAUGUGAUUAUGCUUAUUUGUGGAUUAAUAUGGAUUAUACUAAUUAUGCGUCCUCCUUUUUUCUCUGAUUCCGAGGACGGAAUCCCUAUAAGGAGGGUAGAUUGUAAUGACCCGGAUUUUUAAAAAUAUUUUUAUUAGUAUUAAAAGUGAUUUUCUUAUAAAGAAGGAAUAAGAUUUAAUAUUUAUUCCAGUUUAAUGAGUUUUCAAAAUUUUAUAUUAAACUCCGGGUUAUUGUGUUACUGAUAAAUGAUUAUAUUUUUAAAACUGAUUUUCAUAUAUUGUUUCGAAAAUUCUAGAUGAUUAUUAUGUGAAUAUAUGUGUGAUGUGAGUAAGUGGUAUUGGUGGAUUUGUUGGUUAAUUAAUUGUGGUUAAUAACGGAUAUUAUAUGAUUAAUACAUGAAUUUUGUGAAUAUUGUACUAUCUGGUUUAUUUAAUUGACCGCUCAUAUGUGCUCGGAUUUGAGAUAUUUCAAUUUCUAUAUAAUCAGGAUAAAAUGUAGUUUAUUUGGAUAUUUUGUAUCGAUUUAUGGAAUGUUAGAUGAUUUUAUAAUCGAUUUACAGAUUUAAUUGCGUAUAUUUGUAUUUAUUUAUUAAUUAUUUGAUCUUUUUGGAAACCGUCCACUCGUGACGGAGCAACGAUUUUAUUCCCGAAAGUUUCGAGAAAACUCACCUUUAGCCUAAUUUGAAUAUUCCGGACAGUUUUCGUGUUUUGACUUUUUCGAUCCGGAGUACGGUUUUACUCGGAGUCGGUCCGGCGGAGUUUUGCGGGUAUCUUAAUUGUUGAUAAUUAUCCAGUUUGUCUCGAUAAGCGUGAAACGAGAUAUUUUGAUUAUUAUAUUCAUCCUUAUCUUGUAAUAAUUGCAAUGGGACCCGCAGACCAAUAAUUGAGUUAAAAAGCCCCGUUUUGAUGAUUAUCUCGAAAACCAGUACCGAUUGGACCCCGCUUUAUUAAUAUAAAGCUAUUAAAUACGUAUUUUCAUGUCAUAUACGAUCCAAAGGGGUACCAAUUAUUGGUAAAUAUAAAUAGACCUUUCUAGAGCUUAUUUUCACCCGUAAAAUCAUUUCACCACUUUCUCUGCACCAAUAUCGAGAGAAACCGAGCGGUGUUCUUCGUGUUCUUCAUAAUCAAACAAGGAUUUGAAGGUGUUAUUGGAAUCCGAUGGAGGCGUAUGAAUAGUCAAAACGAAGCUCUCGACGCGUAGAAUAUAGUAUAAUCAAUCAUAACACUGCAGAUUCAUCAGAAAGGCUUAAAGAUGAGAUGAUUGAUUGAGAUUGUGAGUAAGGCUAAUGCUAGGCGAGGAGACAGAGUUGAGGAUCCAGUGGUCGAGGAGUGUUCAGGAAAGUUGAUGAGGUUGGUGCAAGCUGUAAUAGUUGACAGUGAUUCUUCUUAUCGAAGAUGAUCUGAUUUGGUAAGAGAUGUUGUGUAAUAAUAGUGGUAGAUUCUAAUUUCAAUACUGUAACCUGGAUGCGAUCCUGUUGCUUUUAGGGGGUUUAAAUGUUCUCUUUCGAAUCAGUUAUUAAAGUUUAAAUGUUCUCUUGAAAUUCUCCUAUUAUGGCUUUCAAGUUUGAAA